GACGAACGCUGGCGGCGUGCUUAACACAUGCAAGUCGAACGGAAAGGCCCUGCUUUUGUGGGGUGCUCGAGUGGCGAACGGGUGAGUAACACGUGAGUAACCUGCCCUUGACUUUGGGAUAACUUCAGGAAACUGGGGCUAAUACCGGAUAGGAGCUCCUGCUGCAUGGUGGGGGUUGGAAAGUUUCGGCGGUUGGGGAUGGACUCGCGGCUUAUCAGCUUGUUGGUGGGGUAGUGGCUUACCAAGGCUUUGACGGGUAGCCGGCCUGAGAGGGUGACCGGCCACAUUGGGACUGAGAUACGGCCGAGACUCCUACGGGAGGCAGCAGUGGGGAAUAUUGCACAAUGGGCGGAAGCCUGAUGCAGCAACGCCGCGUGCGGGAUGACGGCCUUCGGGUUGUAAACCGCUUUCGCCUGUGACGAAGCGUGAGUGACGGUAAGGGGUAAAGAAGCACCGGCUAACUACG
rnacentral:rRNA from 1 species